rnacentral:rRNA from 1 species
CUACGGGCGGCUCCAGUGAGGAAUAUUGCACAAUGGGGGGAACCCUGAUGCAGCAACGCCGCGUGGAGGAUGACGCAUUUCGGUGUGUAAACUCCUUUUAUAUGUCAAGAAAAUGACGGUAGCAUAUGAAUAAGCACCGGCUAACUCCGUGCCAGCAGCCGCGGUAAUACAGAGGGUGCGAGCGUUACUCGGAAUCACUGGGCGUAAAGGACGCGUAGGCGGGUUGGAAAGUCAGGUGUGAAAUCCUACAGCUUAACUGUAGAACUGCACUUGAAACUUCUAAUCUAGAGUAUGGGAGGGGGAGAUGGAAUUAGUGGUGUAGGGGUAAAAUCCGUAGAUAUCACUAGGAAUACCUAAAGCGAAGGCGAUCUCCUGGAACAUUACUGACGCUAAGGCGUGAAAGCGUGGGGAGCAAACAGGAUUAGAUACCCGCGUAGUC